GCAGGUGGUGAAAGCAGUAGGGCCCAGGCACUGGGAGGCCUAAAGUCCCUCCCUUCUGAUUAAAUCCCAUUUUUCCAGGUCUCUGCUCUGUGCCAGGCGGCAGCCAACUGAACUGAUAAGCUGGUGGAUCAAUGCUUUGCUCCUUUCUGUGUCCCAGCUCUGCAGUUCCACGUGGCCUUCUGGAGGUGCACGGGACUAGGACACCGCAUUGGUGAUGUGUGCCAUUCCCACUGCAUUGCAUCAGGGUCUGCAUGGGGUCAGUUUGUGAAGGGUGUAGACUUCCAUGAGUUAUGUGCUUGAAAUUGUCCCAGAUGGGGGAUAACCCUGAAUCGUUUCACCUGCUCAGCCCAGAUGUGGCCAAGCCAAUAACGAUGGGAAGUUCUCUGGUUUAUGUUCUGGCAAAUGUCGACAAAGCAAAACAAAACACAGCAAAACUCCACUUCCGAGGCAUCCAAAGAGGGGAAAGGGAAAGAGGUUUCAGAACACGGAACGCUCAGCCAUCGGAGUUCCAUCUAAUGGUUAUGCUUCACGAAGAAGUGAGGACACGUGCCUGCAGCCCAGGACAGGGUCGUGCGUGCCCAAGAGCAGAACAACGCACUCGGACUUGUGGCUGCGAGUCUGUGCAGCUGGGGCCAGGCCAUCUUGGACCCUGAGGCAAAAGGAAAAUUCAGCAAAGGUGAUUUCCAUUUUUAUUUAAAAUUUCGAUGGUUUGUUCGUCAUGGAUUCUUUUGCAUUCAUUAUUUUUUAACAUUUUUAUUGGAGUAUAAUUGCUUUACAGUGUUGUGUUAGUUUCUGCUAUAUAUCAAAGUGAAUCAGCUAUACGUAUACAUAUAUCCCCAUAUCCCCUCUCUCUUGCGUCUCCCUCCCCCCCUCCCUAUCCCACCGCUCUAGGUGGUCACAGAGCACCGAGCUGAUCUCGCUGUGCUAUGCGGCUGCUUCCCACUAGCUAUCUAUUUUACAUUUGGUAGUGUAUAUAUGUCCAUGCCUCUCUCUCACUUUGUCCCUGCUUCCCCUUCCCCCUCCCCAUGUCCUCAAGUCCAUUCUCUAAGUCUGCAUCUUUAUUCCUGUUCUGCCCCUACGUUCUUCAGAACAUUUUUUUUUUUAGAUUCCAUAUAUAUGUGUUAGCAUACGGUAUUUGUUUUUCUCUUUCUGACUUACUUCACUCUGUAUGACAGACUCUAGGUCCAUCCACCUCACUACAAAUAACUCAAUUUCGUUUCUUUUUAUGGCUGAGUAAUAUUCCAUUGUAUAUAUGUGCCACAUCUUCUUUAUCCAUUCAUCUGUCGAUGGACACGUAGGUUGCUUCCAUGUCCUGGCUAUUAUAAACAGAGCUGCAAUGAAUAUUGUGGUACACGACUUUUUGAAUUACGGUUUUCUCAGGGUAUAUGCCCAGGAGUGGGAUUGCUGGGUCGUAUGGUAGUUCUAUUUUUAUUUUUUUAAGGAACCUCCAUACUGUUCUCCAUAGUGGCUGUAUCAAUUUACAUUCCCGCCAACAGUGCAAGAGGGUUCCCUUUUCUCCACACCCUCUCUAGCAUUUCUUGUUUGUAGACUUUUUCAUGAUGGCCAUUCUGACCGGUGUGAGGUGAUACCUCAUUGUAGUUUUGAUUUGCAUUUCUCUAACGAUUAGUGACGUUGAACAUCUUUUAAUGUGUUUGUUGGCAAUCUGUAUAUCUUCUUUGAGAAAAUGUCUAUUUAGGUCUUCUGCCCAUUUUUGGAUUGGGUUGUGUUUUGUUUGUUUUUUUGAUAUUGAGCUGCAUGAGCUGCUUGUAUAUUUUGGAGAUUAAUCCUUUGUCAGUUGCUUUGUUUGUAAAUUCCAUGUCCUCCUAGUAUGCCAUCUUGACUCUGCCCCCUGCAUUAAUUUUUAUUUUGAUGAUGUCUCAUUAAUUGGAGUUUUUUGGGGUCUCCUUAAAGUUUGCAUCUGAGAUGGUUGCCUCUCCCUCACCCUAGUCCGGCUUUGAGUUUGUGUACGAUUCUCAGAUGGCAACAAGCCUGGAAGCUUGGGUUACUACCAAGGUCCAGGUGAUGACGGGUAAUGAUGUGGUGGGAUGGGUAAUCCUUGUACCUGUACCAGCUUCACUUACCCAGCGCUUUGUCCCUGCUGGGCACUACUGAUGCCUCUUCUCGCCCUGGAAGCUCCAGGGGCAUGGACAUUAUCUGGUUUAUUCACAUUGUAGUCUCCAAAACAAGGACAGUCCCUAGAACCUUGUAGGUAUCCAAUGAAUAUUCGUUGAAACAACCCUAUGAGGUUAGUGCUGUCAUUAUCCUUAUUUUACAAGUGGGGAAACUAAGGUUUUGGAGGAAUUCGCUAAUGGCCCCAAUUCAUGCAGCCAGUGAGUGGUGAAUCCUGCUCUGUCCCCUCUAAAUCCUGUGCUGUCCCCAGGCCACUGCUCUAAUUCCUUCUAUGGUCACAUAAAGCUGGGGAUUCUGCCCUUUGAAGUUUCCCACUGACCAUAGUUGUUGAUGGUCAUUGCUUCUUGGAAAAUCAAAUAAAAUAUGUCUGUGAUUGGAUGCAUUUGCGUAUAUGUUUGUCUGUUUAAGCCUCAUGGAACAUGGACAUUUCAAACUCUCUGGUAGCUACCCAUCCUCCCAUUUUUUUUUUGAGAAAUGUUUUCAAACCUGAGCUAUUCAACCUGCCUGUUAUCAGGGGCAAAAAUGUUAAAAACACUUCGUGAGACACAGGUGUGCUACUGCUUCCCACCUGUUGGAUAACCAGGAGCUUCUGA